rnacentral:rRNA from 1 species
AUACGUAGGUGGCGAGCGUUGUCCGGAAUUACUGGGUGUAAAGGGCGUGUAGGCGGGAAUGUAAGUCAGAUGUGAAAUUCCGUGGCUCAACCACGGGCGUGCAUCUGAAACUAUGUUUCUUGAGUGCUGGAGAGGAAAGCGGAAUUCCUAGUGUAGCGGUGAAAUGCGUAGAUAUUAGGAGGAACACCAGUGGCGAAGGCGGCUUUCUGGACAGUAACUGACGCUGAGGCGCGAAAGCGUGGGGAGCAAACAGGAUUAGAUACCCUGGUAGUCCACGCCGUAAACGAUGGAUACUAGGUGUAGGAGGUAUCGACCCCUUCGGUGCCGGAGUUAACACAAUAAGUAUCCCACCUGGGGAGUACGGCCGCAAGGUUGAA